CUCCCCACGCUUUCGUGCCUCAGUGUCAGUGCUGGUCCAGAGAGCCGCCUUCGCAACUGAUGUUCCUCCCGAUCUCUACGCAUUUCACUGCUACACCGGGAAUUCCACUCUCCUCUACCGCACUCUAGCCCGCCAGUAUCCAUCGCCAUUCCCAGGUUGAGCCCGGGGCUUUCACGACAGACUUAACGAACCACCUACGCACGCUUUACGCCCAGUAAUUCCGAGUAACGCUUGCACCCUUCGUAUUACCGCGGCUGCUGGCACGAAGUUAGCCGGUGCUUAUUCUUUGGGUACCGUCAGAACUGAAGGGUAUUAACCUACAGCUUUUCUUCCCCAACAAAAGUGCUUUACAACCCGAAGGCCUUCUUCACACACGCGGCAUGGCUGGAUCAGGCUUGCGCCCAUUGUCCAAUAUUCCCCACUGCUGCCUCCCGUAGGAGUCUGGACCGUGUCUCAGUUCCAGUGUGGCUGAUCAUCCUCUCAGGUCGGCUACGCAUCGUCGCCUUGGUGAGCCGUUACCUCACCAACUAGCUAAUGCGCCGCAGGCCCAUCCUCAAGUGACAGAUUGCUCCGUCUUUCCAGCUCUCUUCAGGCGAAGAAAGCAAGUAUUCGGUAUUAGCUACCGUUUCCGGUAGUUGUCCCAAGCUUGAGGGCAGGUUGCCUACGUGUUACUCACCCGUCCGCCGCUAACCAUCAGAGAAGCAAGCUUCUCUUCAAGUCCGCUCGACUUGCAUGUAUUAGGCAUGCCGCCAGCGUUCGUCCUGAGCCAGGAUCAAACUC
rnacentral:rRNA from 1 species